rnacentral:rRNA from 1 species
UACGUAGGGUGCGAGCGUUGUCCGGAAUUAUUGGGCGUAAAGAGCUCGUAGGCGGUCUGUCACGUCGGCUGUGAAAUCCCGAGGCUCAACCUCGGGUCUGCAGUCGAUACGGGCAAACUAGAGUAUUGUAGGGGAGACUGGAAUUCCUGGUGUAGCGGUGAAAUGCGCAGAUAUCAGGAGGAACACCGGUGGCGAAGGCGGGUCUCUGGGCAAUAACUGACGCUGAGGAGCGAAAGCGUGGGGAGCGAACAGG